AGAACAACUUUUUUGACUUCCUGCAAAGAGGACCCUUACAGUAUUUUUGGAGAAGUUAGUAAAACCGAAUCUGACAUCAUCACCUAGCAGUUCAUGCAGCUAGCAAGUGGUUUGUUCUUAGGGUAACAGAGGAGGAAAUUGUUCCUCGUCUGAUAAGACAACAGUGGAGAAAGGACGCAUGCUGUUUCUUAGGGACACGGCUGACUUCCAGAUAUGACCAUGUAUUUGUGGCUUAAACUCUUGGCAUUUGGCUUUGCCUUUCUGGACACAGAAGUAUUUGUGACAGGGCAAAGCCCAACACCUUCCCCCACUGGUAAGAAUUAAUAUUUAUAUUUUUACUAAUUUUAUUUUCUUGUUGCAAAGUUUAUAUAUUUAACUACAAUUUUCUAUUAUUAACACUGAAAUUAUUUUUAAGGAUAAAUUUUAUAAUCAUGAGUGAUUCUUGACAUUCACUUGUUCUUAAACUUUCUGCUUAUACGUUAUAGAGUUUAAUAACUACCUAAACAUGUUAUUAAAUUUGUAUAUAUAUUUUGUGUAUAAAUAGUAACUUUUCCCAAACUUGACAGUAAAUCACACAACAGGUUUCUACUCUCUUUUAAUAUUUUAAGACUAUAAAAAAAUGCAUUUAAAUUAGAUAACAAAAUUUUAUAGUCUGAAAGCAGGUUAACAGCUGUCUAUGUAUGUUAUAGAUAUGUAGAUAACAGAUUUGCAUAUGUCUAUAUUUCUUUAAGAGUAUGUUGCUUUUUUCAAUGGUAUGCAAAACCUUUGAGACUAUUGAGAUAUUUUUAAAUAAUAAUUUUCAAAUUCUACUGAACACUUCAAUAGUCCUUAUAAAUGUCUUAAUCAUGAGAUAAAUUUAAAACACAGAGAUGCUGCAAAUAAAUUCAUACAUAGUACAUACAAAAUAAGAGAAAAAAUUAAAUUGCAGAUGGUUAAAUAUCACAUCACUUAACUGAUGUUACUGAAAAUGUAUUUUCCUGCAUAAUCAUAUGGUUGACAGUAUGCAUUAAGAAGGUAAGUAAAACAAUGAAGACAAUUUUGAUUUAAUAUGGUAAUGCACAAUUCCAACUAACGUACAUUCAACAGAUCAUGAAAUUGGGUUAUUAAAAUGAAUAUUUUUGUCAUUAAAUAAAAAUUCCGUCCAA
rnacentral:lncRNA from 1 species